rnacentral:tRNA from 1 species
GAAGGCAAGCACGCCCGGUGGCGUGGCCGGGCUUCAAACCCGGUGGGGGACGGCAGCCGUUCCUGGGUGAGUUCGACUCUCACUGCCUUCCGCCA